rnacentral:rRNA from 1 species
CGCGUGCCUAUACAUGCAGUCGACGCUUCUUUUUCCACCGGAGCUUGCUCCACCGGAAAAAGAGGAGUGGCGAACGGGUGAGUAACACGUGGGUAACCUGCCCAUCAGAAGGGGAUAACACUUGGAAACAGGUGCUAAUACCGUAUAACAAUCGAAACCGCAUGGUUUUGAUUUGAAAGGCGCUUUCGGGUGUCGCUGAUGGAUGGACCCGCGGUGCAUUAGCUAGUUGGUGAGGUAACGGCUCACCAAGGCGACGAUGCAUAGCCGACCUGAGAGGGUGAUCGGCCACAUUGGGACUGAGACACGGCCCAAACUCCUACGGGAGGCAGCAGUAGGGAAUCUUCGGCAAUGGACGAAAGUCUGACCGAGCAACGCCGCGUGAGUGAAGAAGGUUUUCGGAUCGUAAAACUCUGUUGUUAGAGAAGAACAAGGAUGAGAGUAACUGUUCAUCCCUUGACGGUAUCUAACCAGAAAGCCACGGCUAACUACGUGCCAGCAGCCGCGGUAAUACGUAGGUGGCAAGCGUUGUCCGGAUUUAUUGGGCGUAAAGCGAGCGCAGGCGGUUUCUUAAGUCUGAUGUGAAAGCCCCCGGCUCAACCGGGGAGGGUCAUUGGAAACUGGGAGACUUGAGUGCAGAAGAGGAGAGUGGAAUUCCAUGUGUAGCGGUGAAAUGCGUAGAUAUAUGGAGGAACACCAGUGGCGAAGGCGGCUCUCUGGUCUGUAACUGACGCUGAGGCUCGAAAGCGUGGGGAGCAAACAGGAUUAGAUACCCUGGUAGUCCACGCCGUAAACGAUGAGUGCUAAGUGUUGGAGGGUUUCCGCCCUUCAGUGCUGCAGCUAACGCAUUAAGCACUCCGCCUGGGGAGUACGACCGCAAGGUUGAAACUCAAAGGAAUUGACGGGGGCCCGCACAACCGGUGGAGCAUGUGGUUUAAUUCGAAGCAACGCGAAGAACCUUACCAGGUCUUGACAUCCUUUGACCACUCUAGAGAUAGAGCUUCCCCUUCGGGGGCAAAGUGACAAGUGGUGCAUGGUUGUCAUCAGCUCAUGUCGUGAGAUGUUGGGUUAAGUCCCGCAACGAGCGCAACCCUUAUUGUUAUUUGCCUUCAUUUAGUUGGGAAUUCUGUCAGGACUGCCCGUAAAAAACGGGAGGAAGGUGGGGAU